rnacentral:sRNA from 1 species
UUUUAGCCCCGACGGCAACGGCAUCCUUUUGUGUCAGGUUUUGACACGAAAGAUAUAGUGAACGGCGGGAAUAGCU